GGCGCUAUAGUGUAGUGGUUAUCACUUGGGAUUCUGAUAUCCUCCCUUGUGAGAUCUCGUUGAUUGUUCCCAAAACCCAGGUUCGAGCCCUGGUAGCGCCU